rnacentral:rRNA from 1 species
GAUGAACGCUGGCGGCGUGCCUAAUACAUGCAAGCCGAGCGAACGGACGAGAAGCUUGCUUCUCUGAUGUUAGCGGCGGACGGGUGAGUAACACGUGGAUAACCUACCUAUAAGACUGGGAUAACUUCGGGAAACCGGAGCUAAUACCGGAUAAUAUUUUGAACCGCAUGGUUCAAAAGUGAAAGACGGUCUUGCUGUCACUUAUAGAUGGAUCCGCGCUGCAUUAGCUAGUUGGUAAGGUAACGGCCUACCAAGGCAACGAUGCAUAGCCGACCUGAGAGGGUGAUCGGCCACACUGGAACUGAGACACGGUCCAGACUCCUACGGGAGGCAGCAGUAGGGAAUCUUCCGCAAUGGGCGAAAGCCUGACGGAGCAACGCCGCGUGAGUGAUGAAGGUCUUCGGAUCGUAAAACUCUGUUAUUAGGGAAGAACAUAUGUGUAAGUAACUGUGCACAUCUUGACGGUACCUAAUCAGAAAGCCACGGCUAACUACGUG